UCAUCGGAUUUCUGGCAUACCGCCUUCUCAAUUUGGAUGCAGAUAAAAAGAAAAAGUCGAAAAAAGAUUCGAAGAAGAAAAAGAAAAGAUCAAAGAAGGAGAAAUAGAUGUGCUGCAGACUUUUGAUUCAUUUCUCUACGAUUUGUUUGAUACAAAGCUU
rnacentral:ribozyme from 1 species